AGUGAACGCUGGCGGUAGGCCUAACACAUGCAAGUCGAACGGCAGCACAGUAAGAGCUUGCUCUUACGGGUGGCGAGUGGCGGACGGGUGAGGAAUACAUCGGAAUCUACUUUUUCGUGGGGGAUAACGUAGGGAAACUUACGCUAAUACCGCAUACGACCUACGGGUGAAAGCAGGGGAUCUUCGGACCUUGCGCGAUUGAAUGAGCCGAUGUCGGAUUAGCUAGUUGGCGGGGUAAAGGCCCACCAAGGCGACGAUCCGUAGCUGGUCUGAGAGGAUGAUCAGACACACUGGAACUGAGACACGGUCCAGACUCCUACGGGAGGCAGCAGUGGGGAAUAUUGGACAAUGGGCGCAAGCCUGAUCCAGCCAUACCGCGUGGGUGAAGAAGGCCUUAGGGUUGUAAAGCCCUUUUGUUGGGAAAGAAAAGCAGCAGGUUAAUACCCCGCUGUUCUGACGGUACCCAAAGAAUAAGCACCGGCUAACUUCGUG
rnacentral:rRNA from 1 species